GGCUGCCUCAGUGGUUAGAGCGUAGGUUUCGUAAUCGAAAGGUCGCGAAAUCGAAUCUCGUUAGAGGCUG
rnacentral:tRNA from 1 species